AACGAACGCUGGCGGCAGGCUUAACACAUGCAAGUCGAGCGGGCGUAGCAAUACGUCAGCGGCAGACGGGUGAGUAACGCGGGGGAACGUACCUUUGGGUUCGGAACAACACAGGGAAACUUGUUCUAAUACCGGAUAAGCCCUUACGGGGAAAGAUUUAUCGCCGAAAGAUCGGCCCGCGUCUGAUUAGCUAGUUGGUGAGGUAACGGCUCACCAAGGCGACGAUCAGUAGCUGGUCUGAGAGGAUGAUCAGCCACAUUGGGACUGAGACACGGCCCAAACUCCUACGGGAGGCAGCAGUGGGGAAUAUUGGACAAUGGGGGCAACCCUGAUCCAGCCAUGCCGCGUGAGUGAUGAAGGCCGUAGGGUUGUAAAGCUCUUUUGUGCGGGAAGAUAAUGACGGUACCGGAAGAAUAAGCCCCGGCUAACUUCGUG
rnacentral:rRNA from 1 species